UACGUAGGGUGCGAGCGUUGUCCGGAUUUAUUGGGCGUAAAGAGCAGGUAGGUGGUCUAUCAAGUCUACUGUGAAAUUCCUGGGCUUAACCUAGGCAGUGCGGUGGAUACUGAUUAGACUGUGAGUACCGAAAGGGUGCGUGGAAUUCCUGGUGUAGCGGUGAAAUGCGUAGAUAUCAGGAGGAACACCAGAGGCGAAAGCGGCGCACUGGGAGGUAACUGACACUCAACUGCGAAAGCGUGGGUAGCAAACGG
rnacentral:rRNA from 1 species